rnacentral:ribozyme from 13 species
AUUCAGACCCAAAAGUAAGAACCGCUAAGAAACAGAUAAUAACAAUCCCUGUAAACAUAAUACCAAGGUAGUGCACAAUCUUAAAAAUCUGUUCUCGUCUUUUUUCUUCUUCUUCUCCUUGUCCUUCUCCCUUUCCUUCUCCCUCUCCUUCUUGUGAUUGUGGUUUGGGUAUGACGAAGUCUUUGAUGACAACAUGAACGAGAAAAAAGAACAGGGCCACAACAAA